CCCAGACCGCAUUCCCCGAAAGGCCAGAGAGUACAUUUCCCGGAGGCACGAUAGGCUCAUUCAGCCCAGCGAACUGUGGGCGCAUCCACGGAGCGUGACCCGUGUCUUUCCUCUCGCCCCUGAGACAGUAAUUAUUUUGAUAAAUGCUGCUACUCCCCCAUAGCUCAUCUGCACAGCCGCCUUGGUCCUCUUCCAAGAUGCUCUUCUUGCAUUUUAUAGAGAGCGUGUGUUUCCUCAUAUGGAAGCUUAAUCUUGGAGUUAGACCUCUGUUCAUGCUAGAUCAAGGUGAUCGGCCGGGAAAGGGAUGUUUUCCAUAGAAAAAUGGAAGAAAACUUCCCUUGCAGGCAUUCUCAGCAAGAAAGAGUGGUGAUCUCCUGGGCUCCAAGGAGCUUGUUGUAGGUCUUCUUUCUUACUGUAGGAAGGGUUUAGUUAGUUUUCCAAGGAAAAAAAAAACUCCGGUUGUCUGAUGAAUCACUUUGAUUUGGUUUCAGCCUGCCUUAAUGUGACGGUAGCUCCAUUGCGAGGAGAGGUUCUCUAAAAAUAUGAGAGGAAAAACUUAGCAGCCUAGGCCCUAGGGCAGUGGCCUAAAUUGCACAGUCAGCGUGGAAUGAGAGAUAGGUAGUCCUCAACUUGUGACCACAGCUGAGCCCCAAAAUUCCAUGGCUAAGCAAGUCAGUUGUGACCAAUUCAAAAGAGUGAGGCUGUCAUGACUAUGAUGGUGCUGUUUUGGAGGUGAACCAAUAUGGAACCCUGAGCCACAACUUCUGAGGAUCUGGAUUGUUUUUUUUUCUCCUCUUCCUCCACCUGGUUGGCAGAAAGACCACAUUGCAAUGCAGUGGAAGAAAAGCAUUGUAGAUUUUAGAUAAAUCGAAGCUGGGAUGGACAAAGCCAAAUGAAUGAAGAUCAAUUAUUUUUGUUUUGAUGCACAGAAUGAUAAUAAAAACAGUUUAAAGUCUGGAUUGGGGGUGAGACGAAGCCAUGUUGUAUCCCUGAUAUAAUUCUGGGGUGGUUCUCAUGUUCUAAUAGCAAUAGC